rnacentral:misc_RNA from 1 species
UCUCCGUUGGUGUACCAGCGGAGGGAUCAUUACAGGACUCGCAAGACUCCUACAACCCUGUGAACUUAACUAUAAGCACGUUGCUUCGGCGGGUGUCUCGGAGGGGGUUCUCCCUCCCCGAGACGCUAAACCCGCCGGCAGCCUACUAUACUCUGUCUCUUUGCGUUGGCAUCUCGAGUACAAUCAAACAAGUUAAAACUUUCAACAACGGAACUCUUGGUUCUG